UAUUACCCUUUAUACGUACAUGUGUGAUUUUUGAUUCUAGUAGCAUAAAAAAUAUAUAUUUCUGAUGGAAGUUAUAAAUGGUCGUGCAAGUCAGUAUACGCGACAAGAGAUUCUGGAUUGGUGAAAUUGGAAACAUCCGUAUCAGCGUGGAUAAAAGCCAAAGGAACGCUGAAAUGGAUUUACCAGUGCUUUAAAAAUUGUACGAUUCUAUGUAAAAAAGCAAAGGUGAGUUUCACGUGUUCUUUAUGUAUUCACCUAUUAAAAAUUUAUUAUUAACAUCAGAUUACGCGUUCCUCGAUACCAAGCAAGUUUAAUUUAAUGCAUUUCUUUCUGUCCACAACAGCCGAGAUAUUCAGGAUUUUAAGUACUUCACUCUGUAUAAAUGUGACAUCCGCUUAACGUCUUCAAUUUUUCUCGAAUACAAAGUUUUUAAAAAACUUCAAUUACUGUAGAGAAAUUGCAAAAAUCUGAAGAGGAAAUCCCUGCUCUUACCAAUAAAAAUUAAAUUAAAGAUUAACUGUAGAUAUUUAUAAGCAAUUAAAUAAUUGAGUUACUGAAAAAAA